rnacentral:rRNA from 1 species
UACGGGGGGAGCAAGCGUUGUUCGGAUUUACUGGGCGUAAAGGGCGCGUAGGCGGCCUCCGCAAGUCAGUUGUGAAAUCUCCGAGCUUAACUCGGAAAGGUCAACUGAUACUGCGGGGCUAGAGUGCGGAAGGGGCAACUGGAAUUCUUGGUGUAGCGGUGAAAUGCGUAGAUAUCAGGAGGAACACCGGUGGCGAAGGCGGGUCUCUGGGCCGUAACUGACGCUGAGGAGCGAAAGCAUGGGGAGCGAACAGG